GUGAUUGCCACAUCUCGGAUUCGCCGCGGGGCAACUACCUGGGAAAACCGCAGACUGGGCAAUGAAAGACUACAUCCGGCAACCGGAUGCUGGGUUCUGUGACUCCAGGAAAAGGGGCUCCUGGGCCCAGGGAGAACAUACUAGGCGAUCUCGACAGUCGCUCCGUGACAGCCCACCAACCCCCAACCCUCUACCUCGCAGCCACCCUAAAGGCGACUUCAAGAAGAUGGAAGGAUCUCACGGAUCUCAUUCCUAAUGGUCCGCCGAAGUCUCACACAGUAGACAGACGGAGUUGAGAUGCUGGAGGAUGCAGUCACCUCCUAAACUUACGACCCACCACCAGACUUCAUCCCAGCCGGGACGUCCUCCCCCACCCGAGUCCUCCCCAUUUCUUCUCCUACUUUGCCGCAGUUCCAGGUGUCCUGCUUCCACCAGUCCCACAAAGCUCAAUAAAUACCAAGAGACCUGCAUUUACAGCAGGGGGAACAUCUCACACCCUUGCAUAAGUUAAAAUAAAUAUUACGUACACAUCUCCAUCACCUAGGAGGACGUACAUAAAUACAUAUAAAUAUUA
rnacentral:lncRNA from 1 species